CAAGCCCGUGUGGACACUACACACACCUCGCACACGUUCAAAAACUUUCUCAAAAUUGAAACGUACGGUCAUAACUAUUGGGUCCAGAUCAACCCCGUAUUAUCCCAAACCAUCAUCACUUUUUAGUUAGAAUUCAUUUCCUGAUUAACCACGAAUGCCGAUGAAAAUUGGGUCAAAACCUAGUCUAAUUCGCUAUAUAAAGACCAUCUAAACUAUCCAUAAAAUCUAGGGACCUUGUCUCAUCCUCCGCGUCGCCGCUGCAAUCUUCUUCCACCUCGGGAUACCCUUCUCUCCAAUCCCAAAACCACCAUCUUCUCCUCCGUGAUGUUGGCAGCGAGCUAACCAGCUAACUCCCGAUCCACCCAACCAGCACCCGAGCACCUCCUCCAUGUCUCGCUCGUGCACGAAGGGCAUGAGUUCCUUCGUCGUCCCCAACAAAACACAACCCCUGCUCCCUCCUCGUCUCGAUCCAGGGGAACCAUGAGCAAUGCGCCGUCAUCGGCGACCGCACUAAUAGUCCGACCUCGCAUCCGCCUCCAGCUAUCUCGUCGCCCGCGUUGCAAGGACCAGCCCCGCAGCACCUCGUCCCUGACCACGAGCUCGUGCAGCUCGUGUCUCCCCCGCCGGCGAGCAUCUUCAGUUCUCUGUCGUGUUGUUCUCUCCUCCUUCCUCCUUCUUUUCCUCUCCUAUGAAACUACUAUUUGUUUUAUGUGAACAUCGUCCCCACGCCAUGGCUCCCAAGCUCGUGGAUGCCGGAGCUUUGCCCGACGCCUCCAGCUCCGGGAAUGGGACCCCCUUGCCUAUAUCCAUGCCCCCUCGAGCUCGCACCGUCCCUCCUCUGUGUCCUCUCAUUGUGGACGCCGACAUCUAUUUCCCUGAUGUGAACAACUUCUAUUCACACUAAAAUUCGUUCCUUUUCUAGAUCUGUUAUGACAUAGUGGUAUUUUUCUAGGAUCUCCACUAUGUUUUAGCACGAGCACAUGAACAACUGCAGUGGCUAGCGCCCUCCGCUUCCACCAAGGAGACCUGGGAUUAAAUCCCAGCGGGCACACCUUUCAUUUCAUUUUUGUUGCAUCCCGAGUGUACCACCUGUUGCUACUAGUUCAAUAAAGAUUGAGCUGCGGCAAGGCACAUGCACUUGGCCGACUGUACUGGUCAACCCAGCACGCAGCACGCUAGUAUGCAGGGCAACCUUUGUUCGAACGUAGGACACCCCCAAUUUUCUGUUAUUUGUUCCCUGUUUUCAGCAUUAUUAUCAUUCUGCAUGGGACGAUUCAAUCCAUAUAUUCCCCCUUUGACAAAAGUUUACAUAUGUUUUCCACCUCAUCUUGCGUCUGCUAUUUGAUUUAGCAAAGUGGUGUCAUGUGAGGGCUUGUUCACUUGUACAUUUGAUCUCCAAAGCAUGCUCCACAGUGUGGCUACAAAUUGUUUAAAACUGUCAUUGCAAUUAACAUUGUUUAGUUGUUUUUUAAAAAUUCCUAGACAAAUAAGCAUGCCUAGACUAAUUCCAUGACCAACAGGAGUUCUGAAAAGCAUAUUGUUAUCUUUUCAUUCAUAUGCUGAAAUGUCGUGUUAAAAGAGUUUAAUCCAUAACUAAAUAACCAUAGCUCCAACUAAAAUGGGCCACAUAUGUAACUUGACUAGAAAAACAUGGUGGCAUUUAUUUUGCUGUCUAACAACUUCAAAAUUGUUAUACGCUCAAUAGUACCAAAAUCUUAAUUAGCAUAUGGGGACUUUGUGGAAUUGUUAUUCGUUGUUCCAGUCUCAUUUAAACUUGUCUAGAAUUUCAUGUAGUUUUAUAAUAUCUUGUUGCAUUCAUAUUUAACAUGCUUGGGGCUAUCAUUUGCAUAAAUUUUGCAUUCAUACCAUAUCAUCUUGUGUUGGUCAUGUCUUUUAGAUCAUAACUCCACUUUAGGUGAUCUAUAUAUGUAAAUCGACAAGAAUGACGUGUAGAAUCACAUGAUCCACUUCAUUUUGUUGUUUAACAAAUAUAAAAUUUGUUUAGUUCAGAUCAGGACCAAUUUUGAAAUUAACAUAGAGGGUCAUUUGGAAAUGCUAUAUGUUGUUUCCGACAUCAUUUAAAAUGCCUAGAUAAUGUAGUUUAUUUAUGCUUCACCUUGAUAUGUCUCCAACGUAUCUAUAAUUUUUGAUGGUUCCAUGCUAUUAUCUUGUCAAACUUUGGAUGUUUUGUAUGCCUUUUAUAACUUUUUUGGGACUAACUUAUUAACUCAGUGCCAAGUGCCAGUUCCUGUUUUUUCCGUGUUUUUGACCCUUUUCAGAGGAGAAUAUUAAAUGGAGUCCAAACGGAAUAAAACUUCCGAAAAGAUUUUUUCCGGAACAGAAGAUACGCAGGGGGCGUGAGAACCAAGGCAGAGGCCACCAGGGGAGGCCACAAGCCCCCUAGGCACGGCCAGGGAGGCCCGCACUUAGCAGGCUUGUGGGCCCCCUGUGGCUCGUCUGCCCUACUUCUUCCGCCUAUAAAUCCCCAAAAAAUCCAAAACCACGAGAGAGAUCCACGAAAAUACUUUUCCGCCGCCGCAAGCUUCUGUCUCCGCAAGAUCCCAUCUGGGGCACGUUCUGGUGCCUUUCCGGAGGGAGGAUUCGGAUACGGAGGGCUUCUUCAUCAACACCAUUGCCUCUCCGAUGAUGCGUGAGUAGUUCACCAUAGACCUUCGGGUCCAUAGCUAGUAGCUAGAUGGCUUCUUCUCUCUCUUGAAUCUUCAAUACAAAGUUCUCCAUGAUCUUCAUGGAGAUCUAUCCGAUGUAAUCUUCUUUUGCGGUGUGUUUGUCGAGAUCCGAUAAAUUGUGGAUCUAUGAUCAGAUUAUCUAUGAAUCUUAUUUGAGUUUCUUCUGAUCUCUUAUAUCCAUGAUUUCAUAUCCUUG
rnacentral:lncRNA from 1 species